CUACGGUCAAAUCACGCUAAAAACACUGGUUUUCGUCCGAUUACCGAGGUUAAGCAAUCUGAGCCUGGUCAGCACUUAGAUGAGGGAUCAAUUGGGAACUCUGGGUACUGUAAG